GGGCGAUUAGCUCAGUUGGCUAGAGCGCUUGCUCGACAAGCAAGAGGUCACUGGUUCGAGCCCAGUAUCGCCCACCA
rnacentral:tRNA from 12 species